rnacentral:rRNA from 1 species
UACGGGGGGGGCAAGCGGUUGUUCGGAAUUACUGGGCGUAAAGGGCGCGUAGGCGGCCAUGCGUGUCUUCCGUGAAAUCCCUCGGCUUAACUGAGGACGUGCGGAAGAAACUGCAAGGCUCGAGUCCGGGAGAGGGGGGUGAAAUUCCCAGUGUAGCGGUGGAAAUGCGUAGAUAUUGGGAGGAACACCGGUGGCGAAGGCGGCCCCCUGGACCGGUACUGACGCCUGAGGCGCGAAAGCGUGGGUAGCAAACGGGAU